rnacentral:tRNA from 1 species
GCCUUGGUAGCUCAACGUAAGAGCGUCGGUUUUGUAAUCCGAAGACUGAAGGUUAAAAUCCCUCCCAUGGCU